rnacentral:rRNA from 1 species
GGUUAAGCGACUAAGCGUACACGGUGGAUGCCCUGGCAGUCAGAGGCGAUGAAGGACGUGCUAAUCUGCGAAAAGCGUCGGUAAGGUGAUAUGAACCGUUAUAGCCGGCGAUGUCCGAAUGGGGAAACCCAGUGUGAUUCGUCACACUAUCGUUAACUGAAUACAUAGGUUAACGAGGCGAACCGGGGGAACUGAAACAUCUAAGUACCCCGAGGAAAAGAAAUCAACCGAGAUUCCCCCAGUAGCGGCGAGCGAACGGGGAG